GAACAUUAAGGGAAGGUCACCAAGCUCGUAUUGGUUCACUGGCUUGGAACAGAAACAUCCUCACCAAAUAGUUGGUAUCGGCUAGAGUUUCCGGGGCCUGAUAGUUGGUACCAGCUAGCAUUUUCGGGGGCCUAUAUAGAGGGUACCAGUUUCAAUUUCCGGGACCUAAGCAAGGGUACCUGUUCAAAAUUCCAGGGCCUAAUUAAGGGUACUAGUUCAAAAUUCUAAGGCCUAACACAAGACACCAGUUCUAAAUUUCAGGACUAACACAAGGGACCGGAUUGGAGUUUCGGGACCCGAUGCAAGGUAAGAUACAAUGGGAGAUUAAGUUCGUCUUCCCGCGAGACCGAAACUUAAUCUGUCUAGAAAUAAAAAAUAAGAAAAUUUGUUAUCCA